GAAUCUUCCCAGGUAUUGAUGUCAGACUGAUUGGUCUGUAGUUUCCUGAAUCCAUUACACUGGACAGCGGUUUGAAUUAUUUUACAAUCAACAUUUCAGUGGAAGGAAACUUACCUGGUUACAUUAUCUUUGCACAGGUGAGGUAAAAAUGAAUUAUUUGUGCAAGCCGUAUGUAGCCAUGGUUACCACCUACCAAAUGGCAGUGCUAUUGGCCUUUAACAAUAGUGAAACCAUUAGUUACAAAGAACUCCAGGAUAGCUCACAGAUGAAUGAGAAGGAACUGAUCAAAACUAUCAAAUCAUUACUUGAUGUCAAAAUGAUCAACCAUGACUCGGA